UGAUGCUGAAAAGAAAGAGAAUACAAAAGACACCAAUGAAAAUGUGGAAAACAGAGAGAAACCUCACCCCCCAACCCCCCUUCCCCAAAUCUCACUGAUGUCACCAGUAGGGCAACUCCUCCCGAAAAAGAAAUUAACGUGGAAGUGAACAUCAGGCUAAGAACAGUAUUUGAUUUUCAAGUAAAUGAUGGGUUUCAAAUUCAAGCCUUUCCUCAGGGAGCCUCUCUGAGGAGCUGUCACUGAACCACUUCCCCUAACUCUCCUCCCUACCUGGUGGGAUGCCCUUUCCUACCAUUCAGCACUGUUAGAACCACAGGACAUGUUUAUCUCCAAGCACUUCAGUUGGUCUAUUAGGAAAAGCACAUGCACCUGGAGACACACGGCCAGCCGGCAGAGGGAGGCGGCACAUCCACACUCCACAGGUGAGAAGCCACCGGCCCAGAUCCACCCCGGGUGGCCACCGCUCUGGAAGGGGCUUGUUGCUUUUGCCUGAGUCUUCUGUAUUUACACCCUGCCUCCACCCCAAGAAAGGCACACCAGGCCCAGCUUCUCACCAUUUGUUAAAGCAACCUCUGUGUCCGUGCGUGGAAAGGAUGGAAACCAUGCUUUUAGCCAGUCUAAUCAAAUCCAAAGGAAACGCCUCGCCUCACUGAUGUGGGGGAAGCCACUGACAGGAAGAAGCACCUGAGCCACUACAGGUGGAAGAGCCUGCUGGAGGCCAGCAGCUCUGUUCCUCUAUGGACUUGGCCAUUGGAUGCCAUGGAAGCAAAUGUUUCCAGUGCCAGCCUGCCUACCUUUAAAACAAAGAAUGUGCUUUAUACUCAUGAGCAAGAAGUUCUUCCAAAAUAAGAACUUCUUCAUAAAUGCACAACCAGCACCACAAGACAGAGUAAGCUCAAGCAGGUCUCACGUAAGGCAAAUUCUCCAAAGAACGUCGUUGCUACUGAACUGGGUGAGGCACGGCCCUGAUACAAGGUGAUCUCACGAAGCCAGGCAGAGUGGUGGGGACAUGGAGCCAUCAGCCAACAUCUGAGCAACCAAAUUAGAAAGCUCUAAAACCAAAACUGGAUUUUACAAAUCUGGUGCAUAAUUGACUUGAACUACACAAGGGCAGACACACUGUGAGCUGGAAUAUUCACAAGACGGGGC